AUUGAACGCUGGCGGCGUGCCUAACACAUGCAAGUCGAGCGGUAACAGGUGUAGCAAUACAUGCUGACGAGCGGCGGACGGGUGAGUAACGCUUGGGAAUCUGCCUAUUAGUGGGGGACGAACCCGGGGAAACGUACGGGCGUAAUACCGCAUACGCUCUACGGAGGAAAGACCGGGGACCGGCAAGGCCUGGCGCUAAUAGAUGAGCCCAAGUCGGAUUAGCUAGUUGGUAGGGUAAUGGCCUACCAAGGCGACGAUCCGUAACUGGUCUGAGAGGACGACCAGUCACACCGGAACUGAGACACGGUCCGGACGUCCUA
rnacentral:rRNA from 1 species